CCUGCCCCUAGAGCUCUCACAGGUGUGGCUGCUGUGUCACACAGACAUCAGUAGGUGGCAGAGAGGAGAGAGGCUACGUCUAUGCUCAGUGUUCUGACCUACAGACAUCUGAAUGAUUGGUAACCUAACAUU